rnacentral:rRNA from 1 species
AGUUUCGAAUCAUUCACAAUCGGCGAAAGCCUGAUGUUUCGACGUCGCGUAGGGGACGAAAGUUUUCGACUUGUAAACUCCUUUCGCCGAGGAACAAAACCUAGGUUCGUAGCCUAGAUUGAGUUAACUAGGAAAGGAAGCAGUGGCAAACUCCGUGCCAGCAGCCGUGGUAAUACCGAGACUGCAAGCGUUCCUCGGAAUGACUGGGUGUAAAGGGUGAGCAGGCGGCUAGUAUGUCAGAUGGUACAACGGAUUGAAAAACACCGUAUCGCGUUUGAAACUCCUUGGCACGAGUUUUAGAGAGGUAAUUGGAAUUCUUGGUGGAGCGGUGAAAAGCGGAGAAAUUAUGAGGAACACCAAUAGGGAAAGCAGCUUACUGGAAAAAUACUGACGCUCAGGCACGAAAACGUGGGGAGCAAAAAGGAUGAGAUACCCUUGUAGUCCAAGCCGUAAACGUUGUGCACUCGAUUUAGGAACAUUCAACCGUUUCGAAAUCUCAGCUAACGCUUAAUAGUACCGCAUGAGGACUACGGUCGCAAGACUAAAACUCAAAGGAACUGACGGGGCCCGCACAAACGGUGGAGCAUGUGGCUUAAUUCGAUGCGACGCGAAGAACCUUACCUAGGCUUGACAUAUAUUGGACGGUCUAUGAAAGUAGACCUCUCUUCGGAGCCGAUAAACAGGUGCUGCAUGGCUGUCGUCAGCUCGUGUCGUGAGAUGUUCGGUUAAGUCCGGCAACGAGCGCAACCCUCGCCCUUAAUUGCCAGCGGGUAAAGCCGGGAACUUUAAGGGGACAAACUUUUUAAAGUGGGAAGGUGGGGAUGACGUCAAGUCAGCAUGGCCCUUACGUCUAGGGCUGCACACGUGCUACAAUGCCCGGUACAAUGAGAAGCGAGACCGCGAGGUGGAGCAAAUCUAUAAAGCCGGGCCCAGUUCAGAUUGAAGUCUGCAACUCGACUUCAUGAAGCCGGAAUCGCUAGUAAUGGCGCAUCAGCUAUGGCGCCGUGAAUACGUUCUCGGGCCUUGUACACACCGCCCGUCACGUCAUGAAAGCCGGUUUUGCCCGAAGUGUGUGAGCUAACCUCGCAAGAGGAGGCAGCACCCUAAGGUGAGGCUGGUGAUUGGGACGAAGUCGUAACAAGGUAACCGUA